GACGAACGCUGGCGGCGUGCCUAAUACAUGCAAGUCGAACGAACCGCGACUGAGUGCUUGCACUUGGUCAAGGUGAGUGGCGAACGGGUGAGUAACACGUGGGUAACCUACCUCAUAGUGGGGGAUAACAGUCGGAAACGACUGCUAAUACCGCAUAGGACAUGGAAUCACAUGAUUCUGUGAGGAAGGGUGGCGCAAGCUAUCGCUAAGAGAUGGACCCGCGGUGCAUUAGCUAGUUGGUAGGGUAACGGCCUACCAAGGCGAUGAUGCAUAGCCGACCUGAGAGGGUGAUCGGCCACAUUGGGACUGAGACACGGCCCAAACUCCUACGGGAGGCAGCAGUAGGGAAUCUUCCGCAAUGGACGCAAGUCUGACGGAGCAACGCCGCGUGAGUGAAGAAGGUCUUCGGAUCGUAAAGCUCUGUUGUUAGAGAAGAACAGCGCAUAGAGUAAACUGUUAUGCGUGGG
rnacentral:rRNA from 1 species